rnacentral:rRNA from 1 species
UACGUAGGGUGCGAGCGUUGUCCGGAAUUAUUGGGCGUAAAGAGCUCGUAGGCGGUUUGUCGCGUCUGUCGUGAAAGCUUGGGGCUUAACCCCAAGUCUGCGGUGGAUACGGGCAGACUAGAGGCAGGUAGGGGAGAACGGAAUUCCCGGUGUAGCGGUGAAAUGCGCAGAUAUCGGGAGGAACACCGGUGGCGAAGGCGGUUCUCUGGGCCUGUACUGACGCUGAGGAGCGAAAGCGUGGGGAGCGAACAGG